UACAGAGGUCUCGAGCGUUGUUCGGAUUCAUUGGGCGUAAAGUGUGCGCAGGCGGCCGCGCAAGUCGAGUGUGAAAGCCCCGGGCUUAACUUGGGAAUUGCGCUCGAAACUACGUGGCUGGAGUAUGGCAGAGGAAGGUGGAAUUCCACGUGUAGCGGUGAAAUGCGUAGAGAUGUGGAGGAACACCGAUGGCGAAGGCAGCCUUCUGGGCCAAUACUGACGCUCAUGCACGAAAGCGUGGGGAGCAAACAGG
rnacentral:rRNA from 1 species